rnacentral:rRNA from 1 species
GUGUCAGCCGCCGCGGUAAUACCCGCAGCACAAGUGGUGGUCAUUAUUAUUGGGCCUAAAGCGUCCGUAGCUGGCCUGUUAGAUGCCUGGGUAAAUCGAAGCGCUCAACGUUUCGAAUUCCGGGUAGACCGGCAGGCUCGAGACCGGGAGAGGCGUAGGGUACUCGGGGGGUAGGGGUAAAAUCCUGUAAUCCUCCGGGGACGACCAGUGGCGAAGGCGCUACGCUAGAACGGCUCUGACAGUGAGGGACGAAGCCCUGGGGCGCAAACCGGAUUAGAAACCCCCGUAGUCC